UUAUAACUUUAUUAGUCAACAUGGAGAGAUGUAUAUUACUGGUCCUUAUAACAGCAUCAGGUGUAUUUGCUGAUAGCAUUAAACCAGACAAGGAUAUUAAUAUAAUCAGACGUGAAGGAGAAUCUGUGACACUGAGCUGCACUUAUGAAACAACCAGCAACAAUGUUUAUCUUUACUGGUACAGACAGCAUCCUAACAGUGAACCUCAGUUUAUACUGCGGAAAGGUGCUCGAUCAUAUAGGAGUGAGGAUAUAGCAGAUCGUCGGUUUAAGUCGACAACAUCAGAAUCAUCCACUGAACUCACUACUGCCAGUGUAACUCUGUCAGAUUCAGCUCUAUAUUUCUGUGCUUUAAGAGUUGAAGCCCAGUGA